rnacentral:lncRNA from 1 species
CUCUCGGUAGAGACCUGAGACAGCUCGCAGGUGCCGCCACCGACUCCUUGGUCCGCCCACAGUCGCUGCCGGUGUUGGCUGCUGGAGAAGGAGACCAGAAGAGAGCGGGACCAGAGCUGGAACAGGGCCCUAGGAGGUGAGAGAGAGAGCCCUGCAGUGGGAGACAGGUAGGUGAGAACGCUGUGGGGGUCACCAGCUGUAAAACUCUUUCUGUGGCAGUGACGUUUCUGGAAGCGUGGUUGCUAGUUGGAUGGCUUUCUAUUACUGAGUAGAGAUUCUUCCGCGAUUUUUUUAAAAAAUAUAUCUUUCUCUAUUUUCCCCUCAGAUAUCUCUGCCCUCUGAUCUUGCCCCACUUCUGGGCAAAGCUUAGAGACAAGAAGGACCAUUAAAUGUGAUUGUGUGAAUGUGGUGGUCCUAAGGGGCUUAUUUAGACCUGUUCAGGUCCUCUGAGCCACUGAACCCAGGACAGGCUCAAAAGAAGACCUUGUGGAGGUGGAGGGGCUAUGGUCUCUGUUCUAUGUGGGGCAAAGCUGACUCAGAGACCAUCUCUUUGGAGGGUGGAGAGCACCGUAGUUCAUCUGUGGCAUGGAAAGGGGCUAUAACACACAGUAGCUCUUUAUAUGUAUAGCAGUCUUUAAAAAACAACCACUGCAGGGGGUGUUUAGACCAGGUAGUAGUAACUCUUAAGGUUUGGGGUAUGCCCAGAGUUUACUAUUCUAUAGAUAAGAUGUUUUGGUCAUUGGGGGAUUGGAUGUUAACAGAAAUAAAAUUUUAACCAGAAUGGAGAUAAGAACACCACCCCCAUUCUCUUCACCUACUUUUUCCUCCCUCUCUGAUGCCAGCAAAACAAACACUGUAUGGUGUUAGAGACACCCUCUGUCUGGCCCUUGGCUACUAAAGAACUAUCCUACUUUCAGACAGAUGGGGAAGAGAACUCCACUUCAAUCCCUCAUAUAAUCUAGGAGGGCAAUCUUUUCCACUGGGCUCCAAAGCUCUUAAUGUUAAAUUUGUUUUAAACCCUGGGUGCACCUGAUGUAUGACGGACUGUUAUCUGCAUCUUUGGGCUAUAGUGAGGGCUGGAGAUUGGCACAUGAUUUAAUCCAGUUCUGCUGGGAGAAGAACACCAGAAGACCCGAGGAGAGGGAGGUGCGUUAGCUGAGUAAUUUGAUUCAAAAGCUUUUCAUAGACUUUAGCAGAUUUCUGAAGAAUUUCCAGGAUGGAUAGCCACUGCCUGUGAAAGGAUUCUCCUUUUAUAUCUUAGCCCCAGGGGACUGUGGUAAGUCCCAGUUAAAAGGGUAUGUUCUUUAAUUGGGCUUUUAAUUUAUGAUGUAGUUAUGUUACCCAAGAGGAUGUGAUCUAGCCAGCAUUUCAUCUGGGGAUUUAUACCACAGCGAGGACAAUAUAUUAUAGCAAAAUGCUAUACUGUAGUGUAGAGGAAAGAGGGCAAGAUUCUGGAGUCAGAAACAAACAGGUCUGAACUCUGGUUUCAUCAUACCUGUUGUAUGACCUUGAAUUGCUCCUGUCUUGUUGGGAUGUUUUUUUCUCUAUAGAAUGUGAUUCUAGCAACCCUUAGAGUUUGCUAAGCUCUCAUAACAAUAAAAUUUAAUGGCAGAGGAUGCAAAUGUGGUGGGAUUUUAAAGUCUUAUGUAUGACUAAUGCAAUUUUAAGAAAGUCAUUUUCUAAAGGAAAAAAAAUCUCAGAUUAACAAGGCAUUUCACAGGUAUCACCUAUGGAAAGAGUGGAACUCUUAGUCAGUGAGUUGUGACUGGGAUAUUGUCUUGUUCCAGAGAUACCUGGGCAAUAUAAAGAGGGCUUUAUUGGGGGGAAACACUGAGUGUCCUCCUUGUUUGUUGCUGCUGAAGGUCAAGAGCUAGCUUUGCCAUGGAAGGCAGUGCUCCUCUCUCUCUUGAAAACAGUGUUUGUUCUGUGUAACACAGAGUGGGACCAAACAUCUGAUCGUGUAAAGAGAUAUUUGCCCAAAGUGAGGGCGCCUUUAAGUGUUGCAUACACUGUGGAGUCUUUUCAAAGCUGAAACUGUCUCAAUCCCACUCUGCUCUCUAAAGCCAGAUGUAUUAGCUGAACCUGACCAAAUACGUGCAGCUUGAUCUCACUGCUGAGGGAACUGCAAUCUCUGAAAUGAGCCAGGCCUGUGCUCUGCUCUUUUGUGAUUGUGCUUUUGCCCAGGCUGGUGUCUCUGCAGAAAGUAACAGUUUCUCACUUUCUUCUUUUUGUGUGUGUGUGGCCCAAUUCAAAGGCUCCAUCAUAUCUGGAGCCUUCUCCGAUCCUCUCUUGUGCUUCCUUGAUACUCUGUACCUGAUUUGACUGACAGACUGUGCUGUGUCAUUGCUUGUUACACAGAUCUCUUCUCUCUAGACUCUAUGCUCCAUGAGGGCAGGGGCCUCUCUUAACCUGCCUCACUUCUGAUCCCACAACCUCUGGUGAAUGAAUGGGCCAUCAAUUUGGCCACCUGUCCUGAAAGAGGCAUCACAAAGCCGGUCCCUGGUGCCUUUCUGUAUCAGUGCAGCAAGCACAAACCUAGUCUCAAAAUGUUCAUUUCUUUACAAGGGGCACUUUAGAAUUGUUGGCAUCUGAUCCUAAAUGGCUUUCAUAUAAUAUUUGCUGAAUACUUCAGACUUGGAAUGCGUUUCUCCUCCUUCCAUCUCCCUCUUUUUAUUCAGCUUUCAUAUAAUGGGAAACCAUAUAACCUGGCUUCAGGGAGCGUGUAACUGAACCUAGGUUCUAUGACUGAAAACUAGGGUGGUAGACUCUCGUUUGCCUCAGUUUCCUCAUUUGUAGCACGUGGUUGUUGGAGUCAGUCUCAAGUAGAUGCUGAGUACCUGGAGAAAGUAGAGGCUGUGCAAAAAGAAAAAAAGAAAGAAGGG